UCGACUUGUUCCUGAUUUUAGCAAAAAAAACAGAAGGCGAACCCCCAACCUCCCGCACCUGUCCCCCACCACCAACCUCCCGCACGGUGGAGUGCCUCCUCCAGUGCGGCUGGCGCGCCUCCUACCCGGCCGACGCACUUCUUCCCCCACGGCCGGCGCGCCUCCUCCAGCGCGGCCAGAUCCAUAGGAGCACUGGAGGAGGUCUUCUUCGCUCCGGCCAUCUACGGGGAGGGGAUCUGUGCGAGCCAAGGUCGGGCCCCUCAGCAGCGCCAACUGUCCAGCCCCGUCCCCUGUCGCGUCGGCCCGCGAGUCCAUGAACGGGGUUGCUAAGUGGCCGGGGGAGGCUUCAAUUCAGCGGGGCGUGCACACGGUUCGUCUUUGGCCCGUCACAUCGUCCUGCUGGAUGGUGACCACCACAGCUGCCCUGAGGCGUGGUCUUGCUCGCCGGUGCUGGGCGCGGCUCGGCUGGAAAGAAGAGGAGCUCCAUCCAGCCUGUGAAGUUCAGCCGGUGAACAUGUGCAGUCCGACGGCGCGUGUGUACUUGUGUCCGGUUCACGGGUGUAGUGUGUUUGGUGCUUGCGUGCACACGACAGCCACAUGUGGUGUGAGGAGAAGCCAAACUAAAAGAAGAACACACUUUCUUCACAUGCGUGUGCACGCAAGAUAGGCACAGAGAAGUUCAGGGAUUCAGGCAUGGCGCAGCCGCUGCAGCAUCAACGACAACAGCGCGGCGCUCCUGGUGCUCCUCUCCCUCUUCUGCCUUGGAUGCUGUGAUGCCAUCUCCUCCUACUGUACAAAAGGUUAGAGUGAGGAAAAAUUCCAGCUCAUGAAUGAACCUGAAGAAUUUCUAAUGCGUUGGUGCUAUUCUCUGUCGUUAUUUGUUUCUCGUGAAUGUAUUUGGUUGUAUCUGAUGGAUAUCUAUCUUAAUAUAUUUUUGCUUUAUUUUA